UGUCCGGAUUAUUGGGCGUAAAGAGCUUGUAGGCGGUUUGUCGCGUCUGCUGUGAAAGGCCGGGGCUUAACUCCGUGUAUUGCAGUGGGUACGGGCAGACUAGAGUGCAGUAGGGGAGACUGGAAUUCCUGGUGUAGCGGUGGAAUGCGCAGAUAUCAGGAGGAACACCGAUGGCGAAGGCAGGUCUCUGGGCUGUAACUGACGCUGAGAAGCGAAAGCAUGGGGAGCGAACAGGAUUAGAUACCCUGGUAGUCCAUGCCGUAAACGUUGGGCACUAGGUGUGGGGGACAUUCCACGUUUUCCGCGCCGUAGCUAACGCAUUAAGUGCCCCGCCUGGGGAGUACGGCCGCAAGGCUAAAACUCAAAGAAAUUGACGGGGGCCCGCACAAGCGGCGGAGCAUGCGGAUUAAUUCGAUGCAACGCGAAGAACCUUACCAAGGCUUGACAUAUACUGGACCGCAUCAGAGAUGGUGUUUCCCUUCGGGGCUGGUAUACAGGUGGUGCAUGGUUGUCGUCAGCUCGUGUCGUGA
rnacentral:rRNA from 1 species